rnacentral:rRNA from 1 species
CAAUAGCGUAUAUUAAAGUUGUUGCAGUUAGAACGCUCGUAGUCGGAUUUCGGGGCGGGCCGACCGGUCUGCCGAUGGGUAUGCACUGGUCGGCGCGUCCUUCCUUCCGGAGACCGUCCCUACUCUUAACUGAGCGGGGGCGGGAGACGGGACUUUUACUUUGAAAAAAUCAGAGUGUUUCAAGCAGGCAGCUCGCUCUUGCAUGGAUUAGCAUGGGAUAAUGAAAUAGGACUUUGGUGCUAUUUUGUUGGUUUCGAACACCGAAGUAAUGAUGGGAAGGGACAGUCAGGGGCACUCGUAUUCCGCCGAGAGAGGUGAAAUUCUCAGACCAGCGGAAGACGAACCACUGCGAAAGCAUUUGCCAGGGAUGUUUUCACUGA